GCCUCCGUCUGUCGGGGACGUUUCACAGAGAGAGGAAAUCGCCGAGCGAGGCCCGGAAGCCCUUCGCGGACGAGCCAGGCCGGGAGACUGAGGGGCAGCCGGAGCGAACCAGAAUGGCAGAGACGGACCCCAAAACCGUUCAGGACCUGACCGCUGUGGUGCAAACCCUGUUGCAGCAGAUGCAGGACAAGUUUCAAACCAUGUCGGACCAGAUUAUUGGCAGGAUUGAUGACAUGAGCUGUCGCAUCGACGACCUGGAGAAGAACAUAGCGGAUCUCAUGACUCAGGCUGGAGUCGAGGAACUAGAAGGCGAGAACAAGACCGCUGCAAACAAAACUUCAAGUGAGAGCAACUUUGAAACAAUUUGAUGUCUGCUGACCAAAGUGUGCAGGGAUGGCCAGUCCAGAGUCGUGGCUGCUUAGGGUUCCCAGUAAUCCUGGACUGGUGCCAGAAAGAGAACAUUUUUAUGAGCUUGCAGGGAUUUCAAGAUGGCGUUUGUUUGGCUUUGAUUUUUCAACUUCUGUGUAUAAAAGCAUUUUUCUACAGCUGUAGAACACGCAUUCCUAAUGUACCUUGUAUAGCUGGUCCUGGAACUGUUUCUAUUCUGAUAUAUUGCAAAUUUGUGGAUUUCACACUUUUUCUUUUUUGAAUGGUCAUGUUUUAAACGCUUCAGUUAUUAAAAACACAGUUUUGAUGGAGUUCAACUAUAAUACUAACAUUUGGAUAGAUUUUUGUGAAAUUGUCUUUUUCAAAAAAAACCUUAUAUGGGGUUUUUUUGUGUCAUUUCUUUUCGUAAUUCUUUUCACUUGGAUGGCUAAUUUUUUGUGAUCAGCCUGAGCAACAGAUUUGUCACAUGCGCAUGUGACAGUUCUGUGCAGUUGGGCACAGGAAUGAAAACUCUGUGUUCUAAAAUCUCUCCGAGUAAUGCAUUGAGUAUAGUGACUACAACAUUAGCUGUUAAGUUUAACACA